rnacentral:rRNA from 1 species
UACGGGGGGGGCAAGCGUUAAUCGGAAUUACUGGGCGUAAAGCGUGCGUAGACGGUUAUGUAAGUCGGGUGUGAAAGCCCCGGGCUCAACCUGGGAAUUGCAUUCGAGACUGCAUAGCUAGGGUGCGGAAGAGGGGAGCGGAAUUUCCGGUGUAGCGGUGAAAUGCGUAGAUAUCGGAAGGAACACCAGUGGCGAAAGCGGCUUCCUGGUCCAGCACCGACGUUCAGGCACGAAAGCGUGGGGAGCAAACAGG